UCUCUCUCUCCCUCUCUUUCUCUCUCCUCACUCACUCACACACAUACAUUUACUACGCACACACACUUGUGUAUGCUAACAUUAUCAAUUGUAGGGCUACAAUAUAACGAAAUUACACACUUACACACUGCUCUUCAAUCUGCAUCAGCCCUUUGUGAUAUUAUAGCACGUUUCUCUGCUGCACCAUGAAUAGCUAACAUUGGCUUUAUGCUGGCUCGCUCACGAAAGAAAACCGUUCUUCGACAUUAGCUGAUCUUCUUAUGAAGACAUAUCCCAUGUAAGAUGGGUUGGAAAUGUAUGUUUUUUUCUUCUUUUUUUACUUGAGGCGCCUCAUCUCCUGUCAAUCUUUUAAGAUUAAUGACCUACUCUUGUAAACACGAAGUUUGCCAUAUUGCAAGUGUGUCUUCGGCAUUCACCUAAUGUUACAUAGUUACAUCACCAGAAUCGAAAAUCUGUUCACCAGUCUCUAUUGUUUGGCAUAAGGGGCCUCGACAACAUCCCACGCGACACAGCUAGGUGAGACACAUGGCAACCGAGCCCUUUUUUAUUAUAAUUAUUACAUACACCCCCUGCUAAUACAAAACAACAUGAUAUCCUACGAUAUAUGAACAUUUGCUCAAAAUAAUGCGUUCUUUAGCCACCAGGCCUCGGAUUUCCAUUGGCUGUUAUUGGUCAUGUGACCAGGAAUUGGCUGCAAUUUCGCCCAUAGUCUUCAGUUUAGUAGACCAAGGUCCCCAUACGCUAGUAAUAUCACCAAUAUACACAAUUAUUAAAGGCCGCAAAUACGCCAUUGCGGGGAGCUGAUAAUCACGCGUUUUUGUUAUUAUUUAGCUCAUUUUGGUUUUGCGGUCCGCUUGCUGACCAGGAGACGAUAUGAAUUUUGAAUUUGAGAGGGAGAUUGGGUUCAUAAACAGCCAGCCUUCCCUUGCAGAGUGCCUGACGUCUUUUCCCGCUGUCCUGGAGUCAUUUCAAACUUCAUCAAUCAAGGACUCGACAGUAAUUCCUCCUCCUUUCGAGCACACCAUCCCCAGCCUAAGCCCGUGCACAAGCAGCCAGGCGCGACCGAGGAGCCAAAAGAGAGCUUCCAAUGGCCUGCAGCUUCGGACGCCGCAGUCACACCAGGGCCCUGCCCCGCCAGCGAGCGCUGCUGGCCCGCUGGCACACGAGUUCCCCUGGAUGAAAGAGAAGAAAUCCUCCAAGAAGUGCCCUAAAUCUGCGAAUACCACCCUUGCCUCUUCCUCUUCCCCCUCUCCCGCAUCCUCCGGAUAUGCCACCGCAGGACUGGAAUCCCCGACAGACACACAUGGCGGUCUGGACAACGGAAGCGGGUCCAGGAGGCUGAGGACUGCCUACACCAACACACAACUGCUCGAGCUGGAGAAGGAGUUCCACUUCAAUAAAUACCUCUGCCGGCCACGACGGGUGGAAAUCGCUGCACUUUUGGAUCUAACUGAGAGGCAGGUCAAAGUAUGGUUCCAAAACCGGCGAAUGAAGCACAAGCGGCAAACUACACACCACAGGGAAGGCCAAGAGGGUGACCCUGGAGGAUUUGAACCCCUGGAAGGGGCCGAUGCCUCUUCGCCUUACUCAAGCCAACCACUGGAAGCCUCUGGCUCGGGUGCGUCCGAGGGCGAGACGUGCAACUCUGCAGCCUCCACCUACACGAACAGCAGUGACAAUAAUCACCCCACGCCCGAGGAUGACCAGCUGAGCCGCCAAGAGCCAGCAUCAGUCUCCGAUACAACCGUGCGGUCCCCCCCGUUCCCCCUAACGCCCACUACAGAUAACCCCACAACAAUGGGCGACGCCGGCGCAUCUGGCCCAGAUCAUUCGUUUUCGGAACAGCGGGAUGCCGCGUCCGCCUCUCUCUCCGAUUUAAAUUUCUUUUCGGCUGAUUCCUGCCUCCAGAUAUCUGACGCUCUAUCGCCCAGCCUGCAAAGCUCCCUCGACAGCCCUGUAGAUUUCUCGGAGGAGGACUUUGACUUGUUCACGAGCACACUUUGUACUAUAGAUUUACAACAUUUACAAUUUUAGGACGACAAAAAGAACUUUAAGCAAACAAUCGAAUUAAGGAGACUGCCCAUAGUGUUACAAUAGUAUGCAUCUCGGCAACAUUCCUGAAUGUUCUUUUUUUGAAGAUAGAACUUAACCUGAGACGUACGGAUCGAAUUAUGUACUACUUCCUGGCAAUAUAUUUUUGGUUUAUGCACUCGAAAUCCCAUACGGACUUCCCUUUGUCCAAAUUUCAGCUACUUAUUAGCACCAUGUUCUUGACAUCUCCACUACACUCUUCCUGUCUGAUGUGCAGAGUGGAUCAGAAGAACCGAAAUGGCUCCCAGUGGGGGUCGGAUCAGGUUUAAGGAGAGGAAACUAGGAAUCAGAACCGGGUCACGGACCUUUGGAGUCACCAAUCACCAGGGGGGCCACAUGAAAAGCAAUUCAGGGGUUCAGCCAAGGCCAGUUUGAGUGUGUCUCAGGGAGACUGCAAGACUGUGUCUGCGGUAGGCUGUGUGGAUGUGUGCAAGGACACAACAUAUACCAACCAGAAGCAGUCAGCCUCCACUUCAGUCCCCAAAGAGACAGCGACAACCGAUCGAUGUUGCCCCCCAGGGGUCCCUAUCUGGGGGGCCAGAGAGGAGCCUGACUACUGGGUCUGCAUAGCAACCACUGACUGACUCACAUGAAUCAAUUCAACAUCCAAAUGACCACCACAAUGAAUGGGGUCAUUUUAGUUCACUGGUGUGUGUGUGUGUGUGAAUAUCCAGAAAUGUUUUUGAUAUGAGGUAAGUGUGAAACUCAGCCACAAGUCUUGACUUGUACACUUUUUGUUUUAUUAAUUUAUACAAUCGUUACCGCAUUCUAUCUGAGACCAUAUCGCCAAACAACCGGAGGCGCAGGAGGGGAUGAGGCGACUGUUUAGACAACAGAAGUCAUGCCCACGGGGCACUCCUGGCUUUGUCAAUACAGAAGUGGGAGGUGAUGGUUGACGGAUGUAUGUGCUUGAUCAUUUAAGGUGUGGUGUCUGUGUCUUUGCUUAUCUAUCCAUAUUUGCUUUCCCUGGCCUCCUGCCAAGGCUAUGAGAAGCCGGUUAUCUGCCAUGUUUCCUUCACAAUCGGUAGCAAUCAGGACAUUUGUUUACUUCUUGUCAUGAGUCAUCUUUAGACUGCUUUUCCAAAGUGUUUGUCUUGGACGGUGGCAAAGGAGGAUGGCAGAGCAGAAGGAGGGAGGUUUUGUGCCUGAAGAAAAAUUUCACGGCACAGAUUUUCCAGUAUGACGUUUGCACAGUUAUGUUUACUCAUACAGUAAGUGCAGGAUGGGAAAUGAUUUACCGCUCUAGCCAAUCACAUUUGAAACUGACGUUGCCUGUUUGCUGCAAGUCUUCUGUUUGGCUGAGUCAGAUCACAUGACCUAAAAGGGCUGGGCAAGAAACCAGGAAGUCCCACAAACACAGACAGACGAUGUAUCACAGUAUAAACACAGAGAGCAAUUUUUAAGGGUGUAUCUAUAAGUGACCGUUUUAAAAUAAAAUGUUACGUAAAUUCUGUGUCUUAUUGUAGACAUAUUGUAUUGAAGGGAAAUAGGGGGUGUCAUGUUGUACAGUUUGUAUGCUAAACAAAAUGGGGAGAAAACGUAAACAUUCCUUGUUUU